GGCGCUAACGUGACAGCGCUUCCGGUUCGGGUGCCGGCGGUGCCGCCGCUCCCUCGGCGGGCGGAGUGUGGGGCUCGGGCACCCGGCGGCAUCGGGGCGGGCGCUGGGGCCGCGCGGCGCUGCCGCUGCUGCUCCGGGCUGCUGCCGGGGCUCCCGUGCCGCCGGCCGUGCGCGGGAGGGCGGUGCGGGGAUUUCCCCGCGCUGAGGGGAACCGGCCCCGGCGCCUCCCGAACCCGCCGCUCCGGCGCUGCCAGGGAGUUUGUGAUCAAUUAAAAAGAUGCCUUGUAUUCUCGGAGUGGUGCAUUCUACCUCUGCUGUUUUUCCUGCUAGUCUGGAUCCUCUGCUUAGAUUUUUUUCUUCAUAUUUUAGGUGCCCUGGCUGUGGUGGAUGUCCCGGUCGAGGGCAGUGAUGGCUUUCAUGAAGAAAUCUUUAAAUGAAGACGGGAUUACCCAAACCUUUCCCUUCCCUGCUGCACUAGAAGCCAGGAAUAUCCUGUUGCUUCAGUCUGAAAACGGAACAGUUUAAAAAUCACGAGGAGGUGAGCAAAGAACCUGCUGUGCCCCUGGAUUCUGCAUUUACCACUUUGCUAAAGAGAGCCUAUGAGAGAGGAAGCAAUACCCUACUGGAAGGUGGUGUUCAGACAAAAUUGGCUUCCUGGCUCCCACCUGACCAGCUUUUGUUGGGAGUAAAGCAUGUGCUGUUAUACCUGAAAUCCACAGUGGAGAACUUCAGCAGGCUUGGUAAAACUUUGGGUCCUCAGCUUGUUGAUCUCUGUGUGGACCUGCUGAGCAUCUUGUUGUGCCGGGACAAUGAAAUAAAGCUGGAGCAGCAGCAGAAGCAGGAGGAGCAUCAGGCUGAUGGGAUCUCUUCAUGGAUGAGGAGCCUCUGAUGACAGAAGUGUCUUCAAAUGACAAGACCCUGGAGGAUGCACUCACCUUGAUUUUCAGACAUCCUGCACUGGAGAGCUGGUUCCUGGCGUUGGAGCUGCGCUCUAUUCCUCAG